rnacentral:rRNA from 1 species
UACGGAGGGUGCAAGCGUUAUCCGGAUUCACUGGGCUUAAAGGGUGCGUAGGUGGGUUGGUAAGUCAGUGGUGAAAUCUCCGAGCUUAACUUGGAAACUGCCAUUGAUACUAUCAAUCUUGAAUAUUGUGGAGGUCAGCGGAAUAUGUCAUGUAGCGGUGAAAUGCUUAGAUAUGACAUAGAACACCAAUUGCGAAGGCAGCUGGCUACACAUAUAUUGACACUGAGGCACGAAAGCGUGGGGAUCAAACAGG